UAAAGAGUAUAAUUACAUGUGAAUUUGC
rnacentral:sRNA from 1 species